rnacentral:rRNA from 1 species
UACGUAGGGUGCGAGCGUUUGUCCGGAAUUAUUGGGCGUAAAGAGCUCGUAGGCGGUUUGUUGCGUCUAUCGUGAAAACCUGCAGCUUAACUGUGGGCUUGCGGUGGAUACGGGCAGACUUGAGUUCGGUAGGGGGAGACUGGAAUUCCUGGUGUAGCGGUGAAAUGCGCAGAUAUCAGGAGGAACACCAAUGGCGAAGGCAGCUCGCUGGGACGGUACUGACGCUGAGGCGCGAAAGCGUGGGGAGCAAACAGG